rnacentral:lncRNA from 1 species
UUUUUUUCACAUAUGUGUAAGAAUCUGACUUAUAAAUCAAAAUACACAAAUGGGGCGAGGGAGCUUCGGAAAGAGCAGAAAGUGGAAUGAAGACUGGAGAAAAAAAGCAAACCGACAAUAUAAAAGAAGACAAGACCUCAGGGCUUUCAAGAAACUGGUUUUCCCAGGAGACACGAGGUGAAGUCCCUUUUUAUGGCCAUGAUCC